UACGGAGGGUGCAAGCGUUAUCCGGAUUCACUGGGGUUAAAGGGUGCGUAGGCGGGGAAGUAAGUCCGUGGUGAAAUCUCUGAGCUUAACUCAGAAACUGCCGUGGAUACUAUUUGCCUUGAAUAUUGUGGAGGUGAGCGGAAUAUGUCCUGUAGCGGUGAAAUGCUUAGAUAUGACAUAGAACACCAAUUACGAAGGCAGCUCACUACACAAUCAUUGACGCUGAGGCACGAAAGCGUGGGGAUCAAACAGG
rnacentral:rRNA from 1 species